rnacentral:rRNA from 1 species
GACGAACGCUGGCUGCGUGCCUAAUACAUGCAAGUAGAACGCUGAAGAAGAGGAGCUUGCUCUUCUUGGAUGAGUUGCGAGCGGGUGAGUAACGCGUAGGUAACCUGCCUUGUAGCGGGGGAUAACUAUUGGAAACGAUAGCUAAUACCGCAUAACAAUGGAUGACACAUGUCAUUUAUUUGAAAGGGGCAAUUGCUCCACUACAAGAUGGACCUGCGUUGUAUUAGCUAGUAGGUGAGGUAACGGCUCACCUAGGCGACGAUACAUAGCCGACCUGAGAGGGUGAUCGGCCACACUGGGACUGAGACACGGCCCAGACUCCUACGGGAGGCAGCAGUAGGGAAUCUUCGGCAAUGGGGGCAACCCUGACCGAGCAACGCCGCGUGAGUGAAGAAGGUUUUCGGAUCGUAAAGCUCUGUUGUAAGUCAAGAACGAGUGUGAGAGUGGAAAGUUCACACUGUGACGGUAGCUUACCAGAAAGGGACGGCUAACUACGUGCCAGCAGCCGCGGUAAUACGUAGGUCCCGAGCGUUGUCCGGAUUUAUUGGGCGUAAAGCGAGCGCAGGCGGUUUGAUAAGUCUGAAGUUAAAGGCUGUGGCUCAACCAUAGUUCGCUUUGGAAACUGUCAAACUUGAGUGCAGAAGGGGAGAGUGGAAUUCCAUGUGUAGCGGUGAAAUGCGUAGAUAUAUGGAGGAACACCGGUGGCGAAAGCGGCUCUCUGGUCUGUAACUGACGCUGAGGCUCGAAAGCGUGGGGAGCGAACAGGAUUAGAUACCCUGGUAGUCCACGCCGUAAACGAUGAGUGCUAGGUGUUGGAUCCUUUCCGGGAUUCAGUGCCGCAGCUAACGCAUUAAGCACUCCGCCUGGGGAGUACGACCGCAAGGUUGAAACUCAAAGGAAUUGACGGGGGCCCGCACAAGCGGUGGAGCAUGUGGUUUAAUUCGAAGCAACGCGAAGAACCUUACCAGGUCUUGACAUCCCGAUGCUAUUUCUAGAGAUAGAAAGUUACUUCGGUACAUCGGUGACAGGUGGUGCAUGGUUGUCGUCAGCUCGUGUCGUGAGAUGUUGGGUUAAGUCCCGCAACGAGCGCAACCCCUAUUGUUAGUUGCCAUCAUUCAGUUGGGCACUCUAGCGAGACUGCCGGUAAUAAACCGGAGGAAGGUGGGGAUGACGUCAAAUCAUCAUGCCCCUUAUGACCUGGGCUACACACGUGCUACAAUGGUUGGUACAACGAGUUGCGAGUCGGUGACGGCAAGCUAAUCUCUUAAAGCCAAUCUCAGUUCGGAUUGUAGGCUGCAACUCGCCUACAUGAAGUCGGAAUCGCUAGUAAUCGCGGAUCAGCACGCCGCGGUGAAUACGUUCCCGGGCCU